UUGGCAGGCAUUGUUCGGCUGCUUGUUUGUCGGUUUCCCUUUCCGAAUGCAAUAUACGGUUGAAGCAUUUAAUUUAUCAUUAGAGUUACUAACUGAAGUAGUCGGCGGUUUCGCCAGAUAAAUAACAGAAAUGCGCGAUUGGAUUAACAAAAAAAAACGAAUGUAACCGUUACUAAUGAAGAUGAAGACAUGAGGAAUUUGCAAUGUGGCUUUAGUUGCUUUUAAAUGGAGCGCUGCAGGUAAUGUUAACAACAUCGAAUAUACAUGCUCAGUGAUCUUUUUUGGAACGUGAUUUAGAUUUGUUUAUAUUAUUACCAAUUUAAAGAACGUGAAAUGCGUCAUAAUCACCAAAUUAUUUAAAACUUCGUUAGAAUUUAUAAAGAUCAAUGAAGCGACAUGAAAUUUAAAGGAAAUGUUGAUUUUGUUGCGCUUGGAGAAAGAUAUUAUCCUCACAGCAGAUCGAGUUGAUGACUCAACUAAAAUGCUCAACAAACCCAACAUGGCAUCGCAUAGCAACUUGCUAGCAGUCUAUUCAUAUUUUGGAGGUGAAUUCUUUCGCUUUAACCAAGUUAAUGAAAGACACGAAGAACUCUCUACGAUGUGCUUAAAGAAAAAGUAUCUAACUCUCUCAUCAGAUUGAAAGCUUUAAAAUUGAUAAGAGAUUAUGAUUGAGGGAAGGCCUGUCUCCUACAAUGGCCUCGUGAGGAUAAUUGACGAUGACAACAUUUACAUAUAAGUUAGUAAAAAGGCUAACAUCAAUAUUGUAUACAAUGCAAUAUUUGAAUUGGACUACGAAAAGAAGUCAUACAAUGCUAGGCCUUGUAAUUAGGGGCACUCAACCUUUAUACCAAACUCUUAGUUUAAAAAUAUUAUUCUUAUGUGGUCACCCUACUAUAGUAAUUGGAUUUUCUGUUGAGUGCAGUUAUGAUGUCUGUUUUUUUUUAACAUUCUUUAAUUUUAUAUCGCUAUUUUAGACAAAUAUACUAUUUACUCUUUACUACCCAUAUUUAAAUGUAUUUGGAAGUGAUCUUUCUAGAGAUCACAAAAAGUAAUAAAAACAAAAAUAACAAAUUCUGUUCAUUAUUCAUCAUAAAAUGUAUAAAAUUCCAUCAAAGUGAAUAUCGAGUCGGUUUACCACAAUUCAGUAACUUUAUUCCGUUUUGUUGAAUACAUAUUUACAGUUGCGACUACCUUUAUAAAACUGCAGAUAUACUCUUCGAAACUAAAAUGGACAACGGCCGUACUUAAAGCUCGCAAAGCGAACGCAAUAACAGGCUACGUAAUGGCAUAAAAUGACGCAAGGCAGAUGUUUCGCAUCGUCAAUACCUGCGAUUGGCAGGACAACCAUUUGUUUAGUUGUCAUUGUCGGUGAUAUGCCAUGUCUGGGGCUGUCUUCCGUCUUCAUACCGUCAAUGAUAUGGCUAUCUGAACAUAUAAGACAGGUUGUUGAUAUCGCUGAUGGAUGUGUCUCCUGAUAUGUUAAUGUGUUGUUAUUAUAUGGUCAAUUUGUGAUAUCCUUACUUUGAUGUCGCCGCCAAAGUAAAUUCAGAUUUUGUGUAUCAGAUACUUAGCCGGCAGCUCAACGUUUCUACAAAAAUUGAUGCAGUGAUUUUAUUACUGUUAGAACAGGCUUUGUUUAAAAUAUGUGUCAUUUAAACAAAUAUGCCUUUAAGAUUGCUCUUGAGGUAUUGUUAAAGGUUACAGAAUAUAUAUAAGUUGACUCACUCUACCAACCCAGAGGUUCUUAUUAAAAUUUGGAGAUCAAAAGCUAGCUGCGACUCUCAUGGGUUAUUGUAGCUUACUUCAAAAAAUUGAACGUUUUAUAUUUAAACGAUAAGAUUAAAUAUUAAGUUUUCAAUUCAUUCUGUAUGUUAUGAAAUAGGCGAAGUUUCACAAGGAUUUUUAAAAGAGGCUGUUUUGAAAUAUUGUUUUAAUAUUUGCCCAACAUUUUAGCCAUAUAUCAACUCCUUAGAGUUCCUAAUAAAUAGAUCCUCCAACACAUACACAUAUACUGUCGUGUUUUCAAAUUGAAUCACUAUCAGUUACUAAAAAUAAUACAUACAUAUUUCACAAGAACACUGGAAUAAACAUUUUUUAAAGGUAGCCACUGACAUAUACAAGAGCGCCUUUUGGACAAUUAAGGUUUCUAUUUCUAAAACUACGGAAAAAACGAUACAACACUAUUUCGUUUAAAAAUUCAAGUUUCACCCUGCACUAAAAUAUUUAUACAAAACGUAAGUACUUGAAUUCCUUCUGAAUAACAAAAAUAAAUAGUACCUCAUGUAAUUAACAAAAGUUAUGCAUUGUAGAUCAAUAUAGUUUCAAACUGUGUCAAUAUAAUAGUAAUAGAACGAGUGCAAUAUUAAAGUACCAGACCCGCUAUCGGCGAUUAAUAUGGCGGUAAUAUAAGAUCACGUCGUAUAAUAAUGUCACAAAAAUUGGUAUGAUUAGUGGAAUCAUUGGCAUAACGAUACCUUGUUACGAUAUAGGCGCAAUAAAAAGCAUUUCAUUAUGGGGUCGAUUUUACAUUUAAAUUGCCUUUUAAUGACAGUAAAAAAACAGUUCGGACAGUCUCGUUCGGUCAAAGCUAAUACCCGGUUCUGCAUUUUACAUUUUCACUUCCUUUUUGGACAGCAUUUUACGAGGGAGAUUUGAGAACUACGACAUUAAUUUUGUUGUCUCAGUAUAAAAAAUCUACAAUCGUACCAUAUUGCCUGUAUAUAUAGAGAUCGAUUUCGAUGAGUAAGAAAUUUUAAUUUUUAUAAUUAAAUAUAUGAAUGCUUUAAGACCAAUUUCCAUAAAUUACAAUCGAUCGCUGAAUGACAUAAUUAACAUCGUGUAACAUUUAAGCUGCGAGACAUUUCUAAAUUAUUUUAAAAAUCAUUUUCCUGGCAAGAGACAACAUGCAGAAUCCCCGUCCCACCAGUUUCAAAAAAUUUUAAUGAUAGGGCUAAAUAAUAUUUUGCUUUUAUAAAUAAUAAAUCUCAUAAAAAUAAUAAUAAUACUGCGCCACUUUUGAGGUAAUAAUAUGGACAUAAUACUUUCGAAAAACUCAAAACGCGGGCAAUACAACAUUUAUAAAAAUGGAUAAAAUUAUAAGCACUCGAAAGAGCUAUUAUAGUAUUUAACAUAAUUCCAACAGCAUGCGACAUGAAAAAAAUUCUUCGGGUUCAGAAACGUACAUAUGUUCUUUUUUCCAGAUUCCUAUUAAAUAGGAACAAGAAUAAUUAGGGUUCACCUGAUAUCGAUUAUUCAUUUCCCAUUCCGGAAAAAAAUGGUGCUUCACAAAUAUUAAAUGAAAUCAUUAUUCUGACCAUAACUUCAUUGUUUAUUAACAUAAUUAUCGUUAAAAUCAAAAAGGUAUUAAGGUAUUUACUAGCAGACUAUGGCUCAAUGCAACAACCCAAAAUGUAUACUGAAUAUACAGUUAAUUGCUAGAAUAACUACAUUAUUUACUUAGAAUCGGCAGGAUCGUCAUAAAGCUACAAGGCGUCCACACAUUAUCAGACCUAAUUGUGAUAAGCCCCAUACAACAUCCACUUAUAACUGUUAUGCGUUAUUGAUACGUUACCACUGGAACAAUACUACUAAUGAAUGCGAAGAAGUAAUUUAUGGAGGCUGUGGUGGAAGCGC